rnacentral:lncRNA from 1 species
CGCCACAGCCGCCACAGCCGUCACAGUCGCCACAGCCGCACCCCGGCCGGGGCUGCCUCCGGGAGGAGAGGAUGAGGGCGGCGGGGAGGUCCUGUCCCGCCCGCGGCUCCGGCUGCAGAUCAAGGUGUUCAGCAGUAGAAAGAAGGGCAGUGUAGAGAGUCCAGCAUAUCACAAUUCAACACAAGAGAGAGACCGGGUCAGUUAUUAAACCCUGGGCAGCCUGCCGGGCUUUCAGCAUUGGGUUUACUUUCCUGUGGUUUAUGAGCUCUUGCUAGCUUCAAUCGUCUGGAGAGAAAUAAGACAACUGUCCCAAGAAAACAUGCAUUAUCCAAUCCAAGUAAUGAAAGAGCAAUUCCAAAAGCUAAUUGUCUAUAAAAAUCUAGAGUUGAUCCUUUACUCCUUGGAAAUAGGAAGGUAAUUGCAUUGGUGUGCCAAUUCAUGACCAUCAUCACUAGGUAUCACAUCCAGCCUCAGAGUACCAAUUUCUCCCUUUCACAAGGUGUUAGAAGAAAAAAAACCAUUCAAAUAUUGCAUCGAGAUCAUUCCAGCACAGACAUGAUUUUCAUUCAUCAUGGGUCUAUAUCUGAGAGAAAAAUGCAUGCAAGAUCCAGUGGCUAAAAACUGAAGAGCAAUUCUGUGGCCUGGAGCAGGAGAAUUACCCUGGCACCUUCAAGCUUUAAAAUCCUUUAAACCUCUACCCAAGUUAGGAAAACACUAACAUCUCUUCAAGCAUUUCUUCCAAGCCACAGGACACUAGAAUGAGAAGAGGAAACAAAUCACAAGUGGUUCCACAGAUGUCAUGUUUUGGUGCUCCACUGACCACAUUUCAUGGCACAGGAGUUACCUCAGAUGGCAGUAAUGGGAUUGCUCCAGAGGGUCUGAUCAAAGACCAGACCUGGAAACUGUCUUCACUCAGCAAGCCUUGGCUUUGCAGCUACUGCACAGACAGCAAAAUAAAGUGAGAAGAAACAUUGCUGCUCACCAAGGGGAAUGAGGAUACCAAAGGGCUGAAAUGCUUUCUGACUGAAAUGUAACCCUGGGAAAGAAAAUGUAUCAGCUCUGCCUGGGAGUGGAUGAAGAAAGUCCUAAGAAAGGAACACAAAACAGUUAUUUUCACAAACUUUGCUGGGGAUUUUGUUGUUUUUUUCUUCAAGAAGAAAUCAUUAGGAGACUAAAUUUGGACACCAUUUUUCUACUUGCUGCUGCUUGUGCUACUACCAUGGCCCGAAGCUGAUGGUACAACAGCAGGAGGCCAACAGCCAAAAUGCAUUAGGAGCUCAGCUGACAUAAUCAUAUCUCUGCUGAAUGUCUUGUAUCACAUGAAUGUCUUGGUGCAGAUCAGCAGUACAGAUAUUUAACAAUUACUCUUCUGUGCAGACAAUGUUUAACAGUCCAGAAACAAUACACAGGCAUGCAGUAUGAUAAAACAUGCAUUUUACAGCAGAAAGAACCAACCAGGCUCAUCUCAUGAAAAAAAGGAAACACAACCCUGAAUUCAGCUAUUGUAAAUAUCCUAGUAGAAAAAGGUAAUAAUUUUUCAUCUUUACAAAUAAAAAUAUGGACUAAUAAGUAUAAUCUCCCCUUUGGAUUCAAAGCAAAGAGUUUCAAUAAAUGUAGAAGUGUGUGAGAAUUGUGUCUAGGAAUUUCUCUUCCUUGAUGAUAGAUCAUUAUGUAUAUACAAAUCAUUGUACAGCAAAUAUAAGUUAGAGAUUAUUAAAAAUAAAAAUAAACAUUCAGUUUCUCAGUGAUUUAGUGAAAUGCUGUACUCUGAGUAAAAAGGCAAGUGAUCCUUUUAUGCAAGAGAGUAGCACAUCUACUAGGCCCAAGAGAUGAACAAGUCAUACUCACAAAAAUGACCAAAAACUGGGGAUCCAAACUAGUUUUGAUUAGGUGUGGGAUUUUCAUCCGGUGCCUUUAAAUGCUGACACUUUAGCAAAACCAUCAAGCUGCAUAAUUUCCCACAGCUAGAAAAAUACUGCUGAUGAUCUCUCAAGUGGAACCGAGCAAAAAACCUUAUCUCAUGCAAACAGUGAGAUGUGUAUUUUUGGGGAUUUUUUUUCCCUUCUGUGUUAUAUAAUAAGAAAUCAGGUGUGUUUUCCAUGGAAAUACUGAUUCCUCAUUUUAACUGCUGUUUUUUUAAGAGCUCCCUUCAAUGUAUAUGCUGGUUAUAGGAUUGAACAUUAACCUAUUAAGAAGGCCUAGAAUUUGAUAACUACACACUCAAUGCAGAUUAAUGAAUCUGCAGAUUCAGCUACACAAGAUCCCUGUGCUCAUCCCUCAAGCAAGGAUGUUGAUAAAUGAAAAAACCUGGCACAUUUAUCCUGGACUUUUCAGGUUGUACUGCACAAACUGAUCAAAUGGAGUCCAGAACAAAUGGGAGCAUCCUAAACCCACCAUCCCUUACAGCUCAAACCCACAGCCUUUAAAAGCAGCGUAUCUCUCCACUGGAAACUGCAUUUUUUUGGCCAUAACAAGACCAUGUGUUGUUCACAGUGGCAGAGCCCAAAGUGAUGUACAGUGAAUUAUGUAGAGAACUAAGAAGCCUCCCUGUGCUGCUGCUAUCAUGGGGUCAUUUUUGUCCACUCACCUGGAGGAAGAGCUGCUUUUCACUCUUCUCUGCCCUCUCCUGUGUUCUCUCUGCUUUGUCCAUUAGCAAAGGGACCUUCCUGGUUGUGCCAUUUUGGAGCUGGCAUUCUUAAAACCCCAGUUUGGAGAUGAGAAAUUUCACGUAACACUUGGCAAAUCUAGAGGACGCUGCGGGAAUCUGAUGAUACAAUUCCAGUGUUCAUCCAUCUACUGGAUAUGGACUAUAAGGAAGAGGAGUUCAUUAUGGUGUUUUCCAAGUAAACAAAAAAGGUAUUUUUUUCCCCUGAAGAGUGAAUUAAAUUCUUCAUAGUCUAAAUUUUUCAGCAAGUGAAUUUAAUCUGAUGGGUUUUUAAUGUUCUUGUAAAGCCAGGAAAAUGUAUUAGAAAUUGCUAACAUUUAUCAUGUUCCUUGGUAGGAUAGUUAGAUACUUUGGUUAAAAAGAAACCCCACAAUGAUUGUCUCUCUUGAAUAAAUAUUUUUAAGUAAAUAACUGGGGCUGCAGAACAAAUUAAAAAAAAAAAAAAAAAGAUUAAUAAUAUUUCUGCAAGAAAAUAGCGUCCAAAUUUAGCCCGUGCAAUUUUUGUCAGAAGACAGAGGCUAGAAUUAUCUCCAGCUAAACCAAGGCUCUCAUAACUUGUCAUUUGGGAACUCUUUCAGUGACAUGCAGGCAAAGACUAGAACUGACAAUUAUUUCAACAGGAAAAAAGAACAACAAAACGGAGGUUAGAGGACAUGUUAUUUAUUGUGCUUAUCUGACAGCCCAAAUGCAAUGAGAUGAGGCAGAAGAGCCCAGGCACUGUUUACAGGAAGAAUCAUCUCUUGAAAUAGAUUCUCAUUUCCCUUUGCUCUGUCAUAAUUAGAAAUGUCAAAUUUCUUUGGGGAGGAAAAAAAUAAAAAAAGUUUUUGCUUCCUCUUCUUCCUUAGGAAAUGAAAAUAUGAGUGAGAAUUGAAAUAUCUGUCUGCAAUAAAUGCUUGUU